rfam:Takifugu rubripes genomic scaffold, scaffold_442
UCCCUGUGGCCUUACUGGUGAGACCCUAUCAAUGUUGCCUCUGCUUUCACAUGUGUUCACUCAGUAGUGCAAUAUUGCUUAUAGGGUCUUGCCUCUGAGGGCAG